GACGAACGCUGGCGGCGUGCUUAACACAUGCAAGUCGAACGGAAAGGGCCUGCUUUCGGGGUACUCGAGUGGCCAACGGGCGAGUAACUCGCGGGUGGUCUGCCCUGCACUUCGGGAUAAGCUUGGGAAACUGGGGCUAAUACCGGACAGGAGCAAUCUUUAGUGAGGUGGUUGGAAAGUUUUUUGGGUGUAGGAUGAGCUCGCGGCCUAUCAGCCUGUUGGUUGGGUAAUUGCCUACCAAGGGGGCGACGGGUAGGCGGCCUGAGAGGGUGUAAGGCGACAUAGGGACCUAGAGACGGCACAGGCACCGACGGGAGGGAGAAGUGGGGAAUAUUGCACAAUGAGCGCAAGCCUGGUGAAGCGACGCCGCGUGGGGGAUGAAGGCCUUGGGGUUGUAGACCCCUGUCGCUAGGGAAGAAGCUUUGUUGUGACGGUACCUAGAUAAGAAGCACCGGCUAACUACGUG
rnacentral:rRNA from 1 species